GUGUGGACGAGCCGAGUCUUUGAAUCUUCCUGCAAGUUCAGCCACAGAGCGCCGGGAUGGAGCCUCCUCCUGAGGGAAGGAAACAAGGAAGGAAGGAAGGAAGGAAGGAUAUAAGGUGUGUCUCAGGCUAUCUUCGGACCAAUCGGUGAUGGCGGUUUGUCCUCUGAGCAGAAACACAGGAUGUGGUUGGAGGGGAGAAGUGAAGCAGACGGGAAGAAACACGGCGGCGUUAUGAGGUUAUGAAGGAGGGAAACCAUAUAAGUACGUCAGUAUCCAUGGAAACCGGCCGUGCAGAGGAAGAGGAAGAGGAAGAUACCCGAAGCUGCCGGAGCGACCGCGCUGCCUCUGGGCCGUCGCAGCGUCCCCUGCAGGCGGGAGGCUGGACGGCGCCUCCAGAGAAGAGAAGAAGGAAGACCGGAAGAGCACAGCAGAGAAAUGAGUGGCGCCUUCAGUGUAGGAAGAAGAGGAGGAAGAU